AGAGUUUGAUCCUGGCUCAGAUUGAACGCUGGCGGCGUGCUUAACACAUGCAAGUCGAACGUGAAAGUCCUUCGGGAUGAGUAAUGUGGCGCACGGGUGAGUAACGCGUGGAUAAUCUACCUUCAAGACGGGGAUAACGGUUGGAAACGGCCGCUAAUACCGGAUACGCUAUAUAUUAUAACGUUAUAUAGGAAAUGAUAGCCUCUGCUUGCAAGCUAUUGCUUGAAGAUGAGUCCGCGUCCCAUUAGCUAGUUGGUGAGGUAAAAGCUCACCAAGGCAACGAUGGGUAGCCGUUCUAAGAGGAUGAUCGGCCACACUGGAACUGGAACACGGUCCAGACUCCUACGGGAGGCAGCAGUGGGGAAUAUUGCGCAAUGGGCGAAAGCCUGACGCAGCGACGCCGCGUGAGGGAUGAAGGUCUUCGGAUCGUAAACCUCUGUCAGAGGGGAAGAAGUGUGUCUAUUCAAAUAGGGUAGGCAUUUGACGGUACCCUCAAAGGAAGCACCGGCUAACUCCGUGCCAGCAGCCGCGGUAAUACGGAGGGUGCGAGCGUUAAUCGGAAUUACUGGGCGUAAAGCGCACGUAGGUGGUUUUGUAAGUCAGGGGUGAAAUCCCACCGCUCAACGGUGGAACAGCCUUUGAUACUGCAUCACUAGAGUAUCGGAGAGGGUGGCGGAAUUCCAGGUGUAGGAGUGAAAUCCGUAGAUAUCUGGAGGAACACCGGUGGCGAAGGCGGCCACCUGGACGAAAACUGACACUGAGGUGCGAAAGCAUGGGGAGCAAACAGGAUUAGAUACCCUGGUAGUCCAUGCUGUA
rnacentral:rRNA from 1 species